rnacentral:rRNA from 1 species
GAUGAACGCUGGCGGCGUGCCUAAUACAUGCAAGUCGAGCAAACGGACGAGAAGCUUGCUUCUCUGAUGUUAGCGGCGGACGGGUGAGUAACACGUGGAUAACCUACCUAUAAGACUGGGAUAACUUCGGGAAACCGGAGCUAAUGCCGGAUAAUAUUUUGAACCGCAUGGUUCAAAAGUGAAAGACGGUCUUGCUGUCACUUAUAGAUGGAUCCGCGCUGCAUUAGCUAGUUGGUAAGGUAACGGCUUACCAAGGCAACGAUGCAUAGCCGACCUGAGAGGGUGAUCGGCCACACUGGAACUGAGACACGGUCCAGACUCCUACGGGAGGCAGCAGUAGGGAAUCUUCCGCAAAGGGCGAAAGCCUGACGGAGCAACGCCGCGUGAGUGAUGAAGGUCUUCGGAUCGUAAAACUCUGUUAUUAGGGAAGAACAUAUGUGUAAGUAACUGUGCACAUCUUGACGGUACCUAAUCAGAAAGCCACGGCUAACUACGUG